UUCCUCACUGCUCUCUGAUUUCAUCAGCCCCAAUCGAUCCUCCCCACAAGGACCAGAGUAUUCCGCCCAGAGAACCACUUUCAAUGUACUAGCCCCCAGACGACAGAUCUUGUACUAGUGCCCCCACGGACCCUGUAAUCAUUCUAAGUCUUAGUUUCCUCUUCUACACCCCAGGGGUGUUACAAGGAACAGAUGCAGUAACAUCUAUAAAAUAACACGUACCCAGAAAGAACUCAAUAGAUGGUAGCUGUUUUUGUUACUACUAUAUAAGAAGUGGUCAUAAGCUUGAAAAUGGGAAGACUGCUAAGCUUGUGACUAGAAUAGACUUGCUUGGGCAUUUUUAGCAUUUUGUCCCUCUUCCAUCAGAUGUUCCUUAUCACAUUGACUGUUUACAUAUUUGUCACUUACAUGUUUAUAAACUGUAGACACUGGCACUUUGAGAACAAGAGGUUUCAUUCAUGCAGCAAAUAUUUGCUGAGCGCCUUCUCUAUGCUCCCGACCACUGUAGGCAUCAGGAAUAUAACGGUGAAUGGAACAGACGGCCUGGUCUCUCUGGAAGCUUAAUAUCUGGUGAUUGUAUUUUAUUUAUACUUGUGGCCCCAGGAAAUACCCUCCUAUUUUAUAGAAGGAAAUGGUAAUAAGCACAGAGGUCUCUAACAUCUGAAGUGAAACCUGUGUUGGGCAUGGUGGCUACCUGUAGUUCAUCAUUAAGUGUUCUGUGGUUUGGAAAUAGACCUUGAAUUACAUGAUGAGUAAUGGCCAAAAGCAGUCAGGGAGAAGAGGUUGUCAUAGCUCGUCUCAGAGUGGAAAUGGUUGGGCAGUGAUGUAAUAAGUUGAUGAUUGCCUGCUCACUUCCUGGGGAGGCACAAGAGUGAGUGGGCACAGACCUCUGUUCCGGGGGCCCCUGACCUGGUGAAGUGGUGAGCGGAGGGCUGUGCUCACCGGCUCUCCCUUCAGAGGAGAACAAACUGCCAUCUGCCACCAGCACACCUGCCUGUCACAUCCGCUGUUGAAUACCAAGACAGCUGCUACCAAGUUGGACUGUAAGAUGUGUUUCGCUUCAGACCCACGGCCUGAAUUUUCAGGGCUGCUCUUAAGUGCCUGUGAUACAAGAUUGUUGCCAGUAGUUUGGAGAGGUCCUAAAGGCUGUUAAAUAAGCUCAUGAUUACAGAACAUCAGUGAAGAACCAUCUUCCAGCCUGGUAUUUGGUCUCCAGAGCAUGAACAGUUGAAGGACACAACAAGGCUGGUUCUUCCUGUGACAGUCCGAGUCACAGUCCGCCUCAGCAGAUCUCCUAGUAGGACUUCAGCUUCCUUGGACCGAGGGCAUGUGCUUCUCAAUGUGUGGGGCAAAGUGCUGUGAAGUAGACUCAAAGGUUUGAACCAUGUUAGAACUGAAAGGGGAAUGUAGACAUAAACUCCAGAACAUUCCAUUUGUAGAAGUAGAAAAGUGACAUCCAGCCAGACUGUAACCAGUGAAAUGAGGUAACUAAUACAGGUAACUAAUGAGGUAACUAAUACUAAUAAUAUAUAAGCAUUAUACCAGCUUCUACCUUUUUUUUUUAAAAGAUCUUAUUUAUUUGAGAGAG